rnacentral:rRNA from 1 species
UACCAGCACCCCGAGUGGUCGGGACGAUUAUUGGGCCUAAAGCAUCCGUAGCCGGUUCUGCAAGUCCUCCGUUAAAUCCAACUGCUUAACAGAUGGGCCGCGGAGGAUACUCCAGAGCUAGGAGGCAGGAGAGGCAAGCGGUACUCAGUGGGUAGGGGUAAAAUCCGUUGAUCCAUUGAAGACCACCAGUGGCGAAGGCGGCUUGCCAGAAUGCGCUCGACGGUGAGGGAUGAAAGCUGGGGGAGCAAACCGG